AGAAAAAAAAGAAAAGAAAAAAAGAAAAGCCACGCUUGACUGAUAAUGCAUUGCUUUGGAUGGUGAAACAUUAUGAAAGUUUAAUUUUUAAUUAAAUCUGAAAUACCAAUUAUAACUGAAAGAGAUUUUAACCUGUUUCUUUUCAGACUGCCUGAAGUUACAUUUAGAGACUGAAAUCACUGCACCUUAAAAACAAAAGAUUGGGCUGCACUGUAUUCCUAUAACGUCAAAGGAAGGGCCAAGAAGGUCAAAAGGAAACAUGGACAAAGAGGGGAUAAAGAAGAGGAACUGGAGAAUGUUUCAUCAUUACUAACAGGAUACUCCUCAUGCUAUUGCUGUCUGCAUUUAGAAGAAUAAGAAACAUGACCUCCCGAACCUAUUAUCACAG
rnacentral:lncRNA from 1 species